CCUACGGGGGGCAGCAGUGAGGAAUAUUGGUCAAUGGGCGCGAGCCUGAACCAGCCAAGUAGCGUGAAGGAUGACUGCCCUACGGGUUGUAAACUUCUUUUAUAAGGGAAUAAAGUGAGGCACGUGUGCCUUUUUGUAUGUACUUUAUGAAUAAGGAUCGGCUAACUCCGUGCCAGCAGCCGCGGUAAUACGGAGGAUCCGAGCGUUAUCCGGAUUUAUUGGGUUUAAAGGGAGCGCAGGCGGGCUGUUAAGUCAGUUGUUAAAGUUUGAGGCUCAACCGUAGAAUUGCAGUUGAUACUGGCAGCCUCGAGUACGGUUGAGGUAGGCGGAAUGCGUGGUGUAGCGGUGAAAUGCUUAGAUAUCACGAAGAACUCCGAUUGCGAAGGCAGCUUACUAAACUGCCACUGACAUUGAGGCUCGAAAGUGUGGGUAUCGAACAGGAUUAGAUACCCCGGUAGUC
rnacentral:rRNA from 1 species